rnacentral:tRNA from 1 species
GUGGGAUUGUGGCUCAGUGGUAGAGCUCUCACCUAGCACAAGUAAGGCCCUGGGUUUGAUCCUCAGCACCACA